rnacentral:rRNA from 1 species
UGGGGAAUUUUGCACAAUGGGGGAAACCCUGAUGCAGCGACGCCGCGUGAUUUAGAAGGCCUUCGGGUUGUAAAAAUCUUUUUUACGGGAUGAAAAUGACAGUACCGUAAGAAUAAGGUCCGGCUAAAUACGUGCCAGCAGCCGCGGUAAUACGUAUGGACCGAGCGUUGUCCGGAAUCAUUGGGCGUAAAGGGUACGUAGGCGGCCUAGUAAGUUAGAAGUGAAAUAAUAUAGCUCAACUAUAUAAAGCUUUUAAAACUGCUAGGCUUGAGAGAUGGAAGGGAAAGUGGAAUUCCUAGUGUAGCGGUGAAAUGCGCAGAUAUUAGGAAGAAUCCCGGUGGCGAAGGCGACUUUCUGGUCAUCAUCUGACGCUGAGGUACGAAAGCGUGGGUAGCAAACAGG